UAACUUAUGUUUUUUCUUGAAGAAAAUGCCUCUGUUUACUUAUAUCUUCUUUUUGUUUAAAUAUCCAUAACUUUUUCCUCAUUUCAUUGUUAAGGAGUUACAACUAUCACUCUGCAAUUUUUCAUAGCUUUAGUGUUUCUCAGUCUGAUAACCUUCUCAUCCCUAAUUUUCAGCCUUUGAUUCAACCGCGGAUUCAUUUUCUUCCAACAAACCGUCAAAUCCUGCUGCACUAAUCAAGCAAAAGUUUUCCAAUUUCAGUCUUGCAACCAUUGCAGCCAAUAAUGGCUCACGGUCGUAUCCCUCUCCAGACCAAAACAAAUCGCCAGCAACUCCAUUUGACAUGGGAAGCGGUUUUGUAAACGCUACUGCAUCAUGAAACUUGGGAUUGCUUUUUGAUUCAAAUAAGCCACUUAAUGAACUUCUAAAUCUUUUUAUUAUAUUUAUAAUGUCUAUAAGCUUAUUUGAACUGUGUAUAUGGCAUGUAUUUCUUUGUAGGUUAUGAUGAUUACAUGUCUUUUUUAUGCAGGAAUGGUCUUUUGUCUAUCUAUUAGAACAAAUAAUAUUUUAUUGUUUUAACUUUCAACAGUACAAUAUAUGAAUAUGAAGAUUUUCUUUUGUCCUUCAUUCAAAUAACUUGAUAUUUAUGGAAGAUCAUGCAACAGUCAAGCUAGCAGAUUUUGGUUUAGCGAGAGAAGAGUCUUUAACUGAGAUGAUGACAGCUGAAACGGAAACAUACCGUUGGAUGGCUCUAGAGGGUGAGAGCUGAAGUCUAAAAAGAAUUUCAGAGUUUGGUUAUUUAAGAGGGAAAUGAUUGAAUGUUAUAGAAAAGAAAAAGAAGCCAGAAGUGCAUCUGAGCAGAAGGCCAUUGCAACUGAGGACCUGUACAAGCGAUCACAAGAGUGUAAUAUCAGUUUGCUAUAGUAUAAUAGUCAGCUUCAGUAAAAUCUAAAAGUAGUUAACGAGGAAAAUAAACGACUGGAAAUAGAGAAAUCAAGUAUUGUUGAGAACCUUAGCAGUGUAAGAGGCCACAAUAAGGUAUUGCACGAGCAACUAGCAUCUCUACAAAUAAGUUAUUUAUUGUUGAUUAAUAUCAUCAGGCCUAUCAUUUAUGAUGUCUAUUGUCUGUCGAUAACCCGAAGUGUUAUAAAUUACGUGAUGUGAAGUUCCUGUUGUGAACAAAUAGAUAUGUUGCAGCAACUGAAAAAGACAAGUUGAAGGUACAAAGUUAUAUUUAAGUUUGCAUGUGUGUGCUUCGGUUUUCCCUUUAUUAAUUUAAUUCGGAAAUUUACUUCACAUUAUUGAAAUUAGGGUGGAGUUUGAUCUGUGUCUGUAGCUAAUUGCAGGCCAUAACAAAAUGAAUGUAAAUAGGCUGCACGAGCUACACUAAGCAAUAAAAUCUGGACGUACACACACUGUUUGGAGUCUCUCAAGCAUCAAUGAAGAACUAAUGAGUUUGCAUUUGGUGCAGAACCUCAUUUUGAGAAUAAUGAGUUUAAAAGAUGAUUCAAAUCAAUGUUAAUUGGAAAUGGAGACAAUUUUUCUUAUGUAUUCCGAGCAAAACAUGCGGAUCAUACCUCAUAAACAUGUAUGAAUUUGUUUUAAGAGCUGUGGCCAUACAGAACUAAGAAGAAUCUAAGAACAUACCUCAUAAACA